rnacentral:rRNA from 1 species
GGGUGCGCGAGCUUCUUUUGUGCACCUGCUCUAGGAUGGACUGCGCCGAUCAGCUGUUGGUGGGGUAAUGGCCCACCAACCUGUACCGGUACGGGCCUUGAGAGAGGGGGCCGGAGAUGGACACUGAGAGAAGGGUCCAGGUCCUACGGGGCGCAGCAGGCGCGAAACCUUCGCAAUGCGCGAAAGCGUGACGAGGUUAAUCCGAGUGGUUCCCGCUGAGGGAAUCUUUUGUUGGCUCUAAAAUGGCCAGUGAAUAAGGGGAGGGCAAGUCUGGUGUCAGCCGCCGCGGUAAUACCAGCUCCUCGAGUGGUCGGGGCGAUUAUUGGGCCUAAAGCAUCCGUAGCAUGUUCUGUAGGUCUUCUGUUAAAUCCAACGGCUUAACCGUUGGUCUGCAGAAGAUACCGCAGGACUAGGAGGCGGGAGAGGUGGACGGUACUCCACGUGUAGGGGUAAAAUCCUUUGAUCCGUGGAAGACCACCAGUGGCGAAGGCGGUCCACCAGAACGCGCUCGACGGUGAGGGAUGAAAGCUGGGGGAGCGAACCGGAUUAGAUACCCGGGUAGUCCCAGCCGUAAACGAUGCGAGCUAGAUGAUCCAAUCG